rnacentral:scRNA from 1 species
GUGUCGGUGGCAGAACCCUUGACGAUGACGUA